rnacentral:misc_RNA from 1 species
GAUGAAGAACGCAGCGAAAUGCGAUAAGUAAUGUGAAUUGCAGAAUUCAGUGAAUCAUCGAAUCUUUGAACGCACCUUGCGCUCCUUGGUAUUCCGAGGAGCAUGCCUGUUUGAGUGUCAUUAAAUUCUCAACCUCACCAGUUUUGUAACGAGACAGGUGAAGGCUUGGAUGUGGGGGUUUUGCAGGCUGCCUCAGUGCUGGUCUGCUCUCCUGAAAUGCAUUAGCGAGCUCAUAUUGAGCUUCCGUCUAUUGGUGUGAUAAUUAUCUACGCCGUGGAUUGGACUCAUGCUUGCUUCUAACCGUCCGCAAGGACAAUUUACUUGACCAAUUUGACCUCAAAUCAGGUAGGACUACCCGCUGAACUUAAGCAUAUCAAUAGCGGAGGA